UGACAAAGAGUGCUAAACUUAGCUGGAAACUAGUGCUCUCCCAAAUUAGGCCGGGUGAACUGGCAGGCCCUCAGUGGUUAUCUUUCCUCCUAUGUCUCGGUGCGGACCUUGUGAUGUGCUAGUGCACGAGAGGUCCUCUUAUCUUGGUUCUCUGAGAGCUAUAAGAGCAUAUCAGGCUUUUCUCACUGCCACUUGUUCUUUGUUUAAAGCUGCUCAUAAAGAACCUCCAGAUGCUUCUGAAUGCUUGGGAUAACAAUAUCUCAUGUUUAUGCCAUCCAAGUGAAUCUAUCUGUGAAGAUACAUUACAGCUCAAAAGUCUGGGUAUAUUUUCAAAUGUAAUUUAAUCCUGAGACGCAAAGCUGAAUUUUUAGCAGUCAUUACUUCAGUCAAAUCGUCCUCCAGAAAUCAUUCUAAUAUGCUGAUUUGCUGCUCAAGAAACAUUUCUUAUUAUG